rnacentral:rRNA from 1 species
GGCCGCGAAUUCGCCCUUAGGGUUUGAUUAUGGCUCAGGACGAACGCUGGCGGCGUGCCUAAUACAUGCAAGUCGAGCGAUGAUUAAAGAUAGCUUGCUAUUUUUAUGAAGAGCGGCGAACGGGUGAGUAACGCGUGGGAAAUCUGCCGAGUAGCGGGGGACAACGUUUGGAAACGAACGCCAAUACCGCAUAACAAUGAGAAUCGCAUGAUUCUUAUUUAAAAGAAGCAAUUGCUUCACUACUUGAUGAUCCCGCGUUGUAUUAGCUAGUUGGUAGUGUAAAGGACUACCAAGGCGAUGAUACAUAGCCGACCUGAGAGGGUGAUCGGCCACACUGGGACUGAGACACGGCCCAGACUCCUACGGGAGGCAGCAGUAGGGAAUCUUCGGCAAUGGGGGCAACCCUGACCGAGCAACGCCGCGUGAGUGAAGAAGGUUUUCGGAUCGUAAAACUCUGUUGUUAGAGAAGAACGUUAAGUAGAGUGGAAAAUUACUUAAGUGACGGUAUCUAACCAGAAAGGGACGGCUAACUACGUGCCAGCAGCCGCGGUAAUACGUAGGUCCCAAGCGUUGUCCGGAUUUAUUGGGCGUAAAGCGAGCGCAGGUGGUUUCUUAAGUCUGAUGUAAAAGGCAGUGGCUCAACCAUUGUGUGCAUUGGAAACUGGGAGACUUGAGUGCAGGANAGGAGAGUGGAAUUCCAUGUGUAGCGGUGAAAUGCGUAGAUAUAUGGAGGAACACCGGAGGCGA